AACACAAACUACAUUUGGCAUCAUGAGAAUAAUCAGACGACUGCAUUUGCUAUGACAAAACAGCAUUAUCAGAGAGCUGCAGCCUGUCCCUACACUCCUUUUAAUGUCAGAUUGAUUAAAUAGUUUUUUCUCUGGACUUCUGAGAAACUACUUGAAUGCCAGGAAUGCUACAGAUGUGAUUUAACUUCAGUAAUAUGAUGGGAUUUUUUUUUAAUCUGGGCCAACAGGAAACUCAUGCAGUUCAACAAGAAAGCCUAAGGUCCUGUGCCUGGGGAGGAACAACCCCGGCCACCA